UAGUGGUCGUCGUUAGCUUAACUUUGAGAUCAUCUUUUGAGUAAGUUCUCGUGACUUUGCUUUGAGCAAAUUUCCAAUGAAAACGUGUCAGUGUUAUGGACGUGUUAUAUUGCCAGCAUUAAUUAUAGGCUAUCACUUACUAAAUCGCGAUUGCUGUCAUUAACAUUGUUUGUGCCAAUUUCUUUUCAACCCAAUGUUUCAGUGACUAAAAUUAUUUAUGCAUGUUGUAAGUUAUCCUCAGCUGUGGAAAAUGCCAAUAGCGUGGAUCCUAAACGUUGGUACCUUUUGGUAUUUAAUAUUGCAUCUUUAUUUCAUCCUUCUUUGUUUCCCAGGCCGGUUUACAAUUUAGUAUGAAGUCAUAUUGAUUAUAAACACUAUUUUAAUGAAUCUAAUUUGACUGUUCGUCUAUCUAAAUUUGCUGACAAGUGUAGAAUGUAGAAUUGUAUAAAGGUAUUUAAAUGCAGUUGAAACUCUUGCCGUGUAGUGGGCUGAAGUCUGAGGUUGUCGAAACUGCGCGAGGGAAUCAGCGAUAUGCGCAAAAGACCGACUUUCAUUAAACUAUUUAGAUCACAAAACCAAAUCAAACAGGAUAAACUGUGGAGCAUUUGAGAAAUAUACACAAUUUCUUUUCGAAAAGAGGAGAAGACAAACCAAAUUCACAGAAGAGCAAAAGAUAAUAUUAUUAUUUCAGUGAAAUGCUAGCCAUCGGUUCAGUAUAACGUCAAAAUGAAUAGAAACAUUAUUUAUGGAGUUAUAAUUUGAUUGUUGAAAAAAAAAACGAUACCGCCGAAUACUUGCCGUUUGCUGACCAAUGUGGAGUGUAGAAUCGUAUAAAGGUGUUUCAAUUCGCUGAUAGAAGAGGAGAUUCUGACUACAAAGAUUUAGAGAGGAUUAAUGAGAGGC